rnacentral:rRNA from 1 species
AACGAACGCUGGCGGCAUGCCUAACACAUGCAAGUCGAACGAACCCUUCGGGGUUAGUGGCGCACGGGUGCGUAGCGCGUGGGAAUCUGCCCUUUGCUUCGGAAUAACAGUUAGAAAUGACUGCUAAUACUGGAUGAUGUCUUCGGACCAAAGAUUUAUCGGCAAAGGAUGAGCCCGCGUAGGAUUAGGUAGUUGGUGGGGUAAAGGCCUACCAAGCCGACGAUCCUUAGCUGGUCUGAGAGGAUGAUCAGCCACACUGGGACUGAGACACGGCCCAGACUCCUACGGGAGGCAGCAGUGGGGAAUAUUGGACAAUGGACGCAAGUCUGAUCCAGCAAUGCCGCGUGAGUGAUGAAGGCCUUAGGGUUGUAAAGCUCUUUUACCAGGGAUGAUAAUGACAGUACCUGGAGAAUAAGCUCCGGCUAACUCCGUGCCAGCCGCCGCGGUAACAC